rnacentral:hammerhead_ribozyme from 1 species
AUCCAGCUGACCAGUACUAAAUAGGACGAAACGCACGUCCUGGAU